GACGUGUAAAAAGCAUCAGGAAUAAGGGCUGGGUAAGACCGGUGCCAGCCGCCGCGGUAAUACCGGCAGCUCUAGUGGUAGCCACUUUUAUUGGGCNUAAAGCGUCCGUAGCCGGUCAGGUAAAUCCUUGGGUAAAUCGUACAGCUUAACUGUGCGGCUUCCGAGGAGACUGCCUGACUUGGGACCGGGAGAGGUUGGAGGUACUCCUGGGGUAGGGGUGAAAUCCUGUAAUCCUAGGUGGACCACCGGUGGCGAAGGCGUCCAACCAGAACGGCUCCGACGGUGAGGGACGAAGGCUAGGGGCGCAAACCGGAUUAGAUACCCGGGUAGUCCUAGCUGUAAACGCUGCAGACUUGGUGUUGGAGAUCCCACGAGGGUGUCCAGUGCCGGAGAGAAGUUGUUAAGUUUGCCGCCUGGGAAGUAUGGUCGCAAGACUGAAACUUAAAGGAAUUGGCGGGGGAGCACCGCAACGGGAGGAGCGUGCGGUUUAAUUGGAUUCAACGCCGGAAAACUCACCGGGAGCGACGUUUGCAUGAAGGCCAGUUCGAAGACUUUGCCUGAUUAUUCGAGAGGUGGUGCAUGGCCGUCGUCAGUUCGUACCGCAAGGCGUUCUGUUAAGUCAGAUAACGAACGAGACCCCUGUCCUUAUUUGCUAAGUUAUCCCUCGGGAUGACAGCACUAUAGGGAGACCGCCACUGCUAAAGUGGAGGAAGGAGGGGGCAACGGUAGGUCAGUAUGCCCCGAAUCUCCCGGGCCACACGCGCGCUACAAAGGAUGGGACAAUGGGCUCCGACACCGAAAGGUGAAGGCAAUCCCGAAACCCAUUCAUAGUUCGGAUUGAGGGCUGUAACCCGCCCUCAUGAAGCUGGAUUCCGUAGUAAUCGCGGAUCAACAUUCCGCGGUGAAUAUGCCCCUGCUCCUUGCACACACCGCCCGUCAAACCAUCCGAGUUGGGUCCAAGUGAGGGUUCUCUCUCUGGGGUGUCGAAC
rnacentral:rRNA from 1 species